GCUUUUAUAGUUUAAUUAAGAAUUUAGUUUUGAAGAUACUAAGGUAAUUUUUUUUUAGAAGUA
rnacentral:tRNA from 1 species